AGUGGCGGACGGGUGAGUAACGCGUGAGGAACCUGCCUUUCAGAGGGGGACAACAGUUGGAAACGACUGCUAAUACCGCAUAACGCAUGGGUAUCGCAUGGUAUCUGUGCCAAAGAUUUAUCGCUGAGAGAUGGCCUCGCGUCUGAUUAGCUAGUUGGUGAGGUAACGGCUCACCAAGGCGACGAUCAGUAGCCGGACUGAGAGGUUGGCCGGCCACAUUGGGACUGAGAUACGGCCCAGACUCCUACGGGAGGCAGCAGUGGGGAAUAUUGGGCAAUGGGCGCAAGCCUGACCCAGCAACGCCGCGUGAAGGAAGAAGGCUUUCGGGUUGUAAACUUCUUUUAAGAGGGAAGAGCAGAAGACGGUACCUCUUGAAUAAGCCACGGCUAACUACGUGCCAGCAGCCGCGGUAAUACGUAGGUGGCAAGCGUUGUCCGGAUUUACUGGGUGUAAAGGGCGUGUAGCCGGGCUGACAAGUCAGAUGUGAAAUUCCGGGGCUCAACCCCGGACCUGCAUUUGAAACUGUUGGUCUUGAGUAUCGGAGAGGCAGGCGGAAUUCCUAGUGUAGCGGUGAAAUGCGUAGAUAUUAGGAGGAACACCAGUGGCGAAGGCGGCCUGCUGGACGACAACUGACGGUGAGGCGCGAAAGCGUGGGGAGAAAACAGGAUUAGAUACCCUGGUAGUCCACGCUGUA
rnacentral:rRNA from 1 species